rnacentral:rRNA from 1 species
UACGAAGGGUGCAAGCGUUACUCGGAAUUACUGGGCGUAAAGCGUGCGUAGGUGGUUUGUUAAGUCUGCUGUGAAAGCCCCGGGCUCAACCUGGGAAUGGCAGUGGAUACUGGCAAGCUAGAGUGCGGUAGAGGGUAGUGGAAUUCCCGGUGUAGCGGUGAAAUGACGUAGAGAUCGGGAGGAACACCAGUGGCGAAGGCGGCUACCUGGACCAGCACUGACACUCAGGCACGAAAGCGUGGGGAGCAAACAGG